rnacentral:tRNA from 7 species
GGCGGAUGUAGCCAAGUGGACAAGGCAGU